AACCAGUUCCUUGCUAACGAGCCAAAGACUUUCAGCAAUUGUGUUGAGGCAACUGAUGCUGAUGAUUGGCUCGUGGAUCUGUGCAAGCAUUUCGAGUGCAGUAACGUCAGGCCUAAGGACUUUGUCAAGUUCGCUUCUUUCCAACUCAAAGAUCAAGCUGCAGAAUGGUUCCAACAGUACAAGGAUUCUAGAGGAGGCCGUGUGAUUACCUGGGAUGAAUUCUGUCAAGACUUCAAAGCUCAUCAUAUUCCCCAGAGCGUGGUUGAAAGCAAGCGUGAGGAAUUCCGCAACCUGAAGCAAGGCUCUUUGUCUGUCUAUGACUACAACAAGUUGUUUCAGAAGCUCGCCCGCUUUGCUAAGCAGGACGUCCCUGAUGAGAAGAGCAUGAUAUAUCAGUUCAGGGGUGGUCUCAGAGAAGAAAUCUAG
rnacentral:rRNA from 1 species